rnacentral:lncRNA from 1 species
GGCACCUCUACUCCAUCGUGCACUCAUCCAUCGAGGAUAACUCUCCGACCAGAUGAAGCACUUUUUGGAUUGCUGCCUCUUCUUAAAAUUUCAUCGAGAGCUACAGCAAUUAGAGGAUUAGGUCUAAUCCGAUAGCUCCCUUCGUUAGGAAAAACCUCCACCGCCAUGGCUCUACUGCCAGCACUUGCCCAGCAACAAUGGAAGAUUAGGUCCCUCUCCCCGACCUCCU